AAGCGCCUGUGACCAGACUCGCGCCCGGCGGAUCAUCCGGCGUUCUCGCCGGUGCACUCCGCCGGGCUCGGGCCAGCAUCGGUUCUGGCGGGGGGAUAAAGGCGGCGGGGAUGUGGCUCCCCCGGGAGUGUUAUAGCCCGCCGCUCAAUGCCCCCGCCGGGACCGAGGACCGCGCAUUUUGCAAGGAUGCUGGCGUAAUGGUCACCAGC
rnacentral:rRNA from 1 species